UACGGAGGGGGCGAGCGUUAUUCGGAAUUAUUGGGCGUAAAGGGCGCGUAGGCGGCCUGGUAAGUCAAAGGUGAAAUCCCUCGGCUCAACUGAGGAAUGGCCUUUGAAACUGUCAGGCUUGAGGCCGGGAGGGGGUGGCGGAAUUCCCAGUGUAGCGGUGAAAUGCGUAGAUAUUGGGAGGAACACCAGUGGCGAAGGCGGCCACCUGGACCGGUUCUGACGCUGAUGCGCGAAAGCGUGGGGAGCAAACAGG
rnacentral:rRNA from 1 species